rnacentral:rRNA from 1 species
GGGAUAACUCCGGGAAACCGGGGCUAAUACCGGAUUGUUGUUUGAACCGCAUGGUUCAAACAUAAAAGGUGGCUUCGGCUACCACUUACAGAUGGACCCGCGGCGCAUUAGCUAGUUGGUGAGGUAACGGGCUCACCAAAGGCAAACGAUGCGUAGCCGACCUGAGAGGGUGAUUGGCCACACUGGGACUGAGACACGGCCCAGACUCCUACGGGAGGCAGCAGUAGGGAAUCUUCCGCAAUGGACGAAAGUCUGACGGAGCAACGCCGCGUGAGUGAUGAAGGUUUUCGGAUCGUAAAGCUCUGUUGUUAGGGAAGAACAAGUACCGUUCGAAUAGGGCGGUACCUUGACGGUACCUAACCAGAAAGCCACGGCUAACUACGUGCCAGCAGCCGCGGUAAUACGUAGGUGGCAAGCGUUGUCCGGAAUUAUUGGGCGUAAAGGGCUCGCAGGCGGUUUCUUAAGUCUGAUGUGAAAGCCCCCGGCUCAACCGGGGAGGGUCAUUGGAAACUGGGGAACUUGAGUGCAGAAGAGGAGAGUGGAAUUCCACGUGUAGCGGUGAAAUGCGUAGAGAUGUGGAGGAACACCAGUGGCGAAGGCGACUCUCUGGUCUGUAACUGACGCUGAGGAGCGAAAGCGUGGGGAGCGAACAGGAUWARAUACCCUGGUAGUCCACGCCGUAAACGAUGAGUGCUAAKUGUUAGGGGGUUUCCGCCCCUUAGUGCUGCAGCUAACGCAUUAAGCACUCCGCCUGGGGAGUACGGUCGCAAGACUGAAACUCAAAGGAAUUGACGGGGGCCCGCACAAGCGGUGGAGCAUGUGGUUUAAUUCGAAGCAACGCGAAGAACCUUACCAGGUCUUGACAUCCUCUGACAAUCCUAGAGAUAGGACGUCCCCUUCGGGGGCAGAGUGACAGGUGGUGCAUGGUUGUCGUCAGCUCGUGUCGUGAGAUGUUGGGUUAAGUCCCGCAACGAGCGCAACCCUUGAUCUUAGUUGCCAGCAUUCAGUUGGGCACUCUAAGGUGACUGCCGGUGACAAACCGGAGGAAGGUGGGGAUGACGUCAAAUCAUCAUGCCCCUUAUGACCUGGGCUACACACGUGCUACAAUGGACAGAAACAAAGGGCAGCGAAAACCGCGAGGGUUAAAGCCAAUCCCACAAAUCUGUUCUCA